GACGAACGCUGGCGGCGUGCCUAAUACAUGCAAGUAGGACGCAGUUGCGAACGGGUGAGUACCGUGUAGGUAACUGUCUAUUUGGGGGUGAUCACUAUUGGAAACGAUAGCUAAUACCGCUUCCUAGUAGAUGGACCUGCGUUGUAUUGGGUAGUAGGUAGGGUAAUGGGCUACCUAGGCAACGACACAUUGCCGGCCUGAGCGGGGUGUGGGCCAGACUGGGACUGAGGCAAGGCCCAGACUCCUACGGUAGGCAGCAGUAGGGAAACUUCGGGAAAGGGGUGAACCCUGACCGAGCAACGCCGCGGGAGUGAAGAGGGUGUUCGGAUCGUAAGGCUCUGUUGUUAAGGAAGCGGUACUUAAACAGAAAGGGACGGCUAACUACGUGCCAGCAGCCGCGGUAAUAC
rnacentral:rRNA from 1 species